rnacentral:rRNA from 1 species
CCAAGGAGUUGAACAUGUGCGCGAGUCACACAGUCUUGAUUAGGCUAGUGAGGCGCAUUGAAAGUAAAGCUUGUUAAGUUACGAUCCUCAUGCAGUUAUUCGCAUGUAAUGUGUGUGGUAACGGUGAGGCGCAGUAACAGCCCGCUAAUUUCGCUUUUUGACGAUCUGGCGGAGUUGUAGCGUACACGUUCAGACCCGAAAGAUGGUGAACUAUGCCUGGGCAAGACGAAGCCAGAGGAAACUCUGGUGGAGGUCUGUAGCGAUUCUGACGUGCAAAUCGAUCGUCAGACCUGGGUAUAGGGGCGAAAGACUAAUCGAACCAUC